CACCGUUCCUAGAUGCUCGCGGAUGCGUCAUAACGGGUAUAUCACAUUAGUGUUGUAAUUUAUUUUUAGCGACACUCUCUGAAGGAAAAAGCCGAUAUGAUUUGUGUGUGGUGUGUGUGCCGCAUUUCACUAUUAGAUCUAACAAAAUAUUAACAAAUCUAUUUAAUGUCUGGUUUGACAAUAAUUUGAAGUUUAAUGAUGUCUAAUUGCAUGGCUACUUCUGAUUUUCGGAACAAGUUUAUAAAUAAAAAACUUGACAAGACAAAAUGCACUUUAUGCUUCAACUACUAAUUGCCACAGCAGUUAUGUCUUUGGCUCUAUGUAAAUCUGAAGAAGUCAAAGCAAUAUUGUAUGAGUACAACGAAACACCAAUUUUGAGAACAAAACAACAAUUCUUCUUACGUGGCAAUGUGACGGUACAAACAGCGCCACACGAUGACUUAUACAACUUUUUAAAAAUAAAUUACAGAAAAAAUAACAAUACUGAUUUU
rnacentral:sRNA from 1 species